rnacentral:rRNA from 1 species
AUUGAACGCUGGCGGCAUGCUUUACACAUGCCAGUCGAACGGUAACAGGCCUUCGGUUGCUGACGAGUGGCGAACGGGUGAGUAAUGCAUCGGAACGUGCCCAGAGGCGGGGGAUAACGCAGCGAAAGCUGUGCUAAUACCGCAUGUGAUCUGAGGAUGAAAGCGGGGGACCAGGCAGCAAUGUUUGGCCUCGCGCCUUUGGAGCGGCCGAUGUCAGAUUAGGUAGUUGGUGGGGUAAAGGCCUACCAAGCCGACGAUCUGUAGCUGGUCUGAGAGGACGACCAGCCACACUGGGACUGAGACACGGCCCAGACUCCUACGGGAGGCAGCAGUGGGGAAUUUUGGACAAUGGGCGCAAGCCUGAUCGAGCAAUGCCGCGUGCGGGAAGAAGGCCUUCGGGUUGUAAACCGCUUUUGUACGGAAAGAAAAGGCUCUGGCUAAUACCUGGGGCUGAUGACGGUACCGUAAGAAUAAGCAACGGCUAACUACGUG